rnacentral:snRNA from 1 species
UCUGUUCUUAUCAGUUUAAUAUCUGAUACGUCCUCUAUCCGAGGACAAUAUAUUAAAUGGAUUUUUGGAGCUCGGAGUUGGAAUAGGAGCUUGCUCCGUCCACUCCACGCAUCGACCUGGUAUUGCAGUACCUCCAGGAACGGUGC